UGUUGUGAUAGCGAUUGAUGUUUGUAGUGAAACUGGCAACACAGUCAUAUAGAAUUAAAGAGCAGAUUGGUCAGUAUAAGCGGAUGAAGUUUAGUAUGAGUUAGUCGUUCUGUGGAAGAUGUAACCUUCGAAAAUGCGCAGAAUCGUUCACUGAAAUGUAAGAAAUUGUUACUUAAGUUAAGAUUAUAUUAUUUAAAAUAAACGUUACUUUUACAGCAUUGAAGCUGCUUGAACGAAGCUGCUAUCAAUAGGUGUUGAUUCAUUUCGAAGGAAAUAUUUUCAACAAACUUCAAUGAUUUCUAUUCAAUUGUUAAAUAUUCUGCGAUGGAGUCUACAAUCCGUAGGCUCAAAGAGUUGGAGGAGCAGAGUGUACUAUGGCAAAAGCAGUAUGAAGCUGAAGAACGUCGCAUAGAGGAAGAAUACCAGCGGAAUUUGGCGGAGAUUAAUAAGGUGUUCCGAAAGGCAGCUGAGAAAAUUGCAUUGGAAUUUGCUGCCAAGAGAGCCGAAGUAAAGAAACAGUUUAGUAGAAAAAAUUUAGGUGAAAGUUCAGCCAGUGAUUCAACUCAGGUUACUUGCCCUAGUAAAUCCCUAUCUGGUUGUACUACUUCCAAAACUACUACUCAGUUAAUAGCGGUAAACGAUUGUCAAUCAAAUCCAGGAUUCAAAACGAACAUUUCUACUGGAAUACGUACGGAUGAAACCGCAUACGUUUCUCAUGAAAAUGGAGUAAGUCAAAACAAUAGUGACAAAAUUCGCAAUGUGGAACGGAUCAGUUUAUCGUAUCUUUGUGUUGCCGCAUGCAGGGUACAGAUCAGCAACCAAUGCAUCAACUAAACUACUGUGGAUCCGAUAAGCACACAUGUAGGCAACAAGAAGAGAUCUGUGGUGCGAUGCAGACGGUAGAACAGACUUUCAUUGUCUACGAUCCAGGGGGAAAGAUAGCUGUUAGUUUUUUUUUUACAUUUGUCAAGAAUUACGAUUGAACUUGUGGAGUUAAUCGAAUGUACUUUACACAUACAUGUUGGUAUUGGAUUCAUUAUACAUUUAUAAACUAAAUAUAGGGAGAUAAGCAACGAGUGAACAUUUAAUUGGUUACCAGUUUCACGGGUAGGAGAUUGUUAGGAUAACGAUUGAUGUUUGUAGUGAAACUGGCAACACAGUCAUAUAGAAUUAAAGAGCAGAUUGGUCAGUAUAAGCGGUUGAAGUUUAGUAUGAGUUAGUCGUUCUGUGGAAGAUGUAACCUUCGAAAAUGCGCAGAAUCGUUCACUGAAAUCAUUGAAGCUGCUUGAACGAA